UACGUAGGGGGCGAGCGUUAUCCGGAAUUAUUGGGCGUAAAGGGCACGCAGGCGGUCCUGCACGUGGUGGGUGACAGCUCCUGGCUUAACUAGGAGAGAGCCUUCCAAACGGCAGGACUUGAGAGCGAGAGAGGGAGACGGAACUCCAGGUGAAGCAGUGAAAUGCGUAGAGAUCUGGAAGAACACCAAAGGCGAAGGCAGUCUCCUGGCUCGUCUCUGACGCUCAGGCGAGAAAGCUAGGGGAG
rnacentral:rRNA from 1 species